GAUGAACGCUGGCGGCGUGCCUAAUACAUGCAAGUCGAGCGAAGCGGGGACGGGUGAGUAACACGUGGAAAACCUCCUCUAAGACGGGGAGAACUUCGGGAAACCGGAGCUAAACCGGAUAUUUACAGCUGGAUCCGCGCUGCAUUGGCUAGUUGGUAAGGUAACGGCCUACCAAGGCAACGAUGCAUAGCCGACCUGACAGGGUGAUCGUCCACACUGGAACUGAGACACGGUCCAGACUCCUACGGGAGGCAGCAGUAGGGAUUCUUCCGCAAUGAGCGAAAGCGUGACGGAGCAACGCCGCGUGAGUGAUGAAGGUCUUCGGAUGGUAAAACUCUGUUAUUAGGGAAGCGGUACCUAAUCAGAAAGGCACGGCUAACUACGUGCCAGCAGCCGCGGUAAUUC
rnacentral:rRNA from 1 species